CAACUCUAGAGAUAGAGUCUUCCCCUUCGGGGGACAAAGUGACAGGUGGUGCAUGGUUGUCGUCAGCUCGUGUCGUGAGAUGUUGGGUUAAGUCCCGCAACGAGCGCAACCCUUAAGCUUAGUUGCCAGCAUUAAGUUGGGCACUCUAAGUUGACUGCCGGUGACAAACCGGAGGAAGGUGGGGAUGACGUCAAAUCAUCAUGCCCCUUAUGAUUUGGGCUACACACGUGCUACAAUGGACAAUACAAAGGGCAGCUAAACCGCGAGGUCAUGCAAAUCCCAUAAAGUUGUUCUCAGUUCGGAUUGUAGUCUGCAACUCGACUACAUGAAGCUGGAAUCGCUAGUAAUCGUAGAUCAGCAUGCUACGGUGAAUACGUUCCCGGGUCUUGUACACACCGCCCGUCACACCACGAGAGUCUGUAACACCCGAAGCCGGUGGAGUAACCAUUUAUGGAGCUAGCCGUCGAAGGUGGGACAAAUGAUUGGGGUGAAGUCGUAACAAGGUAGCCGUAUCGGAAGGUGC
rnacentral:rRNA from 1 species